UCAUAGCUGAAAUUGCACCUAACAAUCUUCGAGGAAGACUAACUGCUAUAAACCAGUUAAUGAUCGUUACCGGAGUGUCUGUCUCCUUCGUCAUUGGGGUAGUAGCAGUAAGUUGGAGGGCUUUAGCAACAAUCGGUGAAUUUCUUAGACAACCUGUGUUUUUAAUUAGAAUAUCCACGUGAGGAAAGUUCCUAACUCUGCUGGGCUGAGCACUUGGUGAGAAGUCCAGAAAUCCUUCACAGUCAAAACAUCAAACACUUGGUCGACAACACCAUCCAAAAUUCAAAACCAUACCAAAACAAGGCAAAAAAAGAGAGAAAAUUUAUUGCAAUUAGUAGUUACCAAAGGAAUUGGGGCUGUUGAGCAGUGACGGAGGAGGUGGGCGCAGAGGAGCGCUAGAUUCUUCGGAGCUGUUGAGCUGUUAUGGAGGCGGUGGAAAUGUAUAGCCGCGCGGCUAUACUAUUUAAAAUAUUUUUUUAUUUAAGGGGUAUAGCCGAUGGGCCGUACUGUUUAAAUAUAUUUUUUUUGUUCAUGGGGUAUAGCCGCCCGGCUAUACGCUUUAAAUAUAUUUUUAAUCCUAAAAAUUCUAGGUAAACUGGGAUAGUUACUAUGAUGAUUUUAUCGUUUUAAUUUCAGUUACGUUUUUAUAUUUUCACAGGAUGUUUGUGAUCUUAGAACUCUGAGUUGUAUAUAUUAACUACGAUACAGUUGUAUAGUAAUCUCUUCUCCCCCUUGUAACCAAAAAAAGGAGGUAUUGGUAUA